CCCUGCCAUUUGUACACACCGCCCGUCGCACCUACCGAUUGAAUGGUCCGGUGAAAUCUUCGGACUUUGUUUAAGUUUAUUUAUUUAGAUUUUUACGAGGAAAGUUGAGUAAACCUUACCAUUUAGAGGAAGGU
rnacentral:rRNA from 1 species